rnacentral:rRNA from 1 species
GGAAUCCGCYAAGGAGUGUGUAACAACUCACCUGCCGAAUGAAUUAGCCCUGAAAAUGGAUGGCGCUGAAGCGGGUAGCCGACACCACGCCGUCUGGACAAAGUGGUCUUUCAGAUGAGUAGGAGGGCGUGGCGGUUGUAUCGAAGCGUGGAUGCGAAUCUGCGUGGAACAGCCGCUAGUGCAGAUCUUGGUGGUAGUAGCAAAUAUUCAAGCGAGAUCCUUGAAGGGCGAAGCGGGGAAGGGUUCCACGCGAACAUUGAUUGGGCGUGGGUGAGUCGUUCCUAAGCCGCGUGGCAAUAGCUAAUUACCGGCGAAAGGGAAGCAGGUUGACAUUCCUGCACACGGAUGUGGAGACGGCGACGAUACAUGAGGCGAUCACGCUGGCGGUGGCGCUGGGCAGAGUUGUCUUUUCUGUUUGACCAUUGAAUACUUGCUGUGUGGAAUCCGCUUGUCGGGAGAAACACGCAGGUACGGGCAGAGCGCCGGGGCUUUUCCGGCGUCCAGCUCGCCACCGACGGCCCUUGAAAAAUUGCCUGCUGAACAACACUUGUGUUGUGAGAUCCACGCCGUGGCGUACCGAUAACCGCAUCAGGUCCCCAAGGUGAACAGCCUCUGCUCAGUAUGAACAAUGCAGGUAAGGGAAGUCGGCA